AGGAACAACAGGAACUUGUUAAACAACCACAAUAUCUCAGGUUUAAUGAGAAAUUCAUCAAUGGCCUGAACAGACAGAGAGAGAUUCUGACAGGAAAGCAGAGUGAUGAAAUCAAGCUAACUAUGGAUGAAUCAUCCGAGGAACAAGCAAUGGCAAGUGCUCAGCAGGAAGACUCCAGCAGCAGUUCAUCAAGCGAGGAAACUGAGAAUGCUAUUCCCAAUAUCAGUGAGGCUAAACACAUUUCAAGAGAAGACAUACUCAACCAGUGCACCCUGUUUAAACAGGAACAGCUUAAGAGACAGAUGAAAUGCAAUCAACUGUGCCAG